rnacentral:rRNA from 1 species
UAGGGAAUCUUCCGCAAUGGGCGAAAGCCUGACGGAGCAACGCCGCGUGAGUGAUGAAGGUCUUCGGAUCGUAAAACUCUGUUAUUAGGGAAGAACAAAUGUGUAAGUAACUAUGCACGUCUUGACGGUACCUAAUCAGAAAGCCACGGCUAACUACGUGCCAGCAGCCGCGGUAAUACGUAGGUGGCAAGCGUUAUCCGGAAUUAUUGGGCGUAAAGCGCGCGUAGGCGGUUUUUUAAGUCUGAUGUUAAAGCCCACGGCUCAACCGUGGAGGGUCAUUGGAAACUGGAAAACUUGAGUGCAGAAGAGGAAAGUGGAAUUCCAUGUGUAGCGGUGAAAUGCGCAGAGAUAUGGAGGAACACCAGUGGCGAAGGCGACUUUCUGGUCUGUAACUGACGCUGAUGUGCGAAAGCGUGGGGAUCAAACAGG